UAGUGUACUCUAUGUGUGUUUUCAUGAUAACAUGAUCAUUAAUACAUACCUUCUACAUAUGAAGUGGUUUCAUCUGCAAGCAACUUAUUCCUUCUAACCCAACUUUUUUGUAGCCUUUUGUGUUGGUCGAGCAAAAUUUUAUCAACUUACUCUUCCUUAUAUCUACAAACAAGAGAAAAACAAUUGAUGUCAAACAAGAGAAGAAAAAAAGAACACUACAAUUGAUGUAUG
rnacentral:lncRNA from 1 species